rnacentral:ncRNA from 1 species
GUCACCGCGAGGUGGGGUCCGAAGGAAGCUGUAAGCAAAGUGCCGGCCUGACGAACAGGAAUCGCAUGAGGCGUCCGCACCUGGGCGAGGGAGCCAUUAAGCCCGAAGCCCGAUAUCACCCGGAAGGUGCUGGCGUAUAUGCGGCGGGUAUAUGGCAUGAAGGUCACGCGU